UUUUGAUAUAUUUUUCAUGUAUACAUAUAUAUUACAUAUAUAUAUAUAUAUAAUAUAUAUAAAUAUAUGAAAAAUUGAUGUGGGUACUCAAAUGAAAGGUCUCGAUGGGUGUAAUAUCGGGUUGAGCUUAUAUCUUUAAAAAUGUCAGUGGUUGAAAAGAUACAAGGUAAUUUCUUAUUUA